UAAAAAAAAAAUUUAAGCACUGCCCCAGAAAGAAAAGCCCUGAUCCCAGAAAAAAAAAGAGAAGGAACUGUCACCUUGCGCUCUCACCGCCUCGCCCAGCGCCGCCGCCCGCCCGCCGCCUCUUUCGCCGGCCACCGCGUCGAGCCCGCCCUCCGCCGCCCGUGCCUGCCUCCACCGCGCCCUUUCCCGAACCUUCACCGGCGUUGCCCAACCUCCGCCGAGCCCCUUCGCCCUGCCCUAGCCCUUCCCGAAUCCGGACGACUGACGGCGGCGCUCCGGCUCGCCGCUGGGAGAUAUGGGUUUACGUACCAGACGGCCGACUGUUGCAGUGCGUAGUGGUGACGAAGAAGACUUUGACAAUGAUGGUGAUGAUGAUUACAGUGACCAAAACGAUUAUGAUUAUAUCUGCAAAUAUGACGCCAGCCACAAUCAUGGUAGUGGUGAUGACAAGAGCAGUGAUGAUUACAGCUGCACCGAUGAUGAUAGCAACGAUGAUGGUGAUGAUAUUGACAACGAUGGUGGUGGUGGUGGGGAUGCUACUGAUAAUUUAUGUGCAAUAUGUGACAAUGGAGGGAAAUUGCUAUGCUGUGAAGGACAAUGUAAAAGGUCCUUCCAUCCCAGAGAAAAAGAUGGAAGGGAAUCUACUUGUGAAACUCUUGGUUUAACUUCUGCACAACUACAGGAAAUUGAUCAUUAUCUAUGCAAGAACUGUGAAUAUAAGCAACACCAAUGUUUCAGUUGUGGAGAUCUUGAGCCAUCUGAUGGGCCAAAUGCUAAGGUGUUCCAAUGCUACAAAGCAUCUUGUGGGCACUUCUACCACCCCAGUUGUAUUGCCAAAUUACUUGAGCCUGAUGAUACUGAUGGAGCUUGCGAAUUGGAGCGGAGGAUUGCUGCUGGGAUGUCAUUUACAUGUCCUGCACAUUGGUGCUCAGAAUGUAGAACGAUGGAAGACAGUACUCAACCAGAACUUUGGCUUGCGGCUUGCAGACGCUGUCCAGUGUCAUAUCACAAAAUAUGUUUCCCAAGAAGCAUUUCCUUUGAGAGAAAGCGUGGCACAAGUGUACGCGCUUGGCACCUGGGUGAUAGAAUUAUCAUUUACUGUGGAAGCCAUAAACUAGAAGCUGAGCUUGGAGCACCUAGCAGAGACCAUAUAAAGUUACCAUCUAGUACAGAAAUGGAUACUGUUGGAACACAUUGCAUUGACCAAAUAAAGUCAACUCCCGUUCAAAAAAUUUAUAGAACAAGAAAUCUUGCUAAGAAGAAAACAGAAGUGACUGGUAAAAGGAAAAUGAACACUGAUCAAGGUUCAACAGGAACUGCGGAGCUGUCAAAAAAGGUAUGUCGAGAAGAAGCCGACCAGAUAAAGUUAAUUCCCGUUCCAAAAAUUUAUAGGACAAGAAAUCUUGCUAAGAAAACAAAAGUGACUGGUAAAAGGAAUAUGAACACCAAUCAAGGUUCAACAGGAACUGCGGAGCUGUCAAACAAGGUAUGUCGAGAAGAAGCCGACCAGAUCCAAACAGUAGAUAUGAAUAACUUAAGGGAAGAUAAGAUUCCAAAAGGGAGAGGUGUCCUCGAGAAAGAGACCAUCCGUUUAAAUCAAGCACACAAUGACGAGCUAGAAAAGCUUAUUGUGGAGGAACAGGCUGAAGAGGAUGAAAGCAACACCAAAUCUGGAGAAGAGAGAGAAACUCGUAGGAGAGAAAAUACAUAUGGGGAAAAGGAGAAGACUCCUGUAAACAACAGUAAUAAAUUUGGAUUACCUGACGGGCGGUUUAGCUCCGGAUCUGAUGGUGACCGAGAAGUUGAUGGUAGCCAUGCCUGCCAGCAGGAGCUGAAGAGUCCUCACUGCAAUGAUAAUAACAAAGCAACAGGAAUUGAUACUUCAAGUGAAAAAUCAGGAAAGAGACAGAGACAGGAGGAACAGGCAACUGAUGGCAACAUGUUGGACUUGGAAAGGAACAAUAAGAAGUUUCACAUGGAAACUGGAAGAGAUGCUCAUCAAAGUCCUCAGCGUCUUCAUAAUCACAAAAAAACAGAUGCUCGUCAAAGUUCUGAUUCCUCAUCAAAAAAUCAUCCUCUGGGUAAUGAUGAUCAGAGAUCUUCAAUGACUUCCGAAUACAAAUCCAGAGAGGGAAGAGGAUCAAGUAGAGAAGAGUGGAGAAAUAAUAUGAGAGAAAAUUCUUAUAGGGGAGGGUCACCCUCGAGGAGAAGAAAUUCUCAAAAUAGAUCAAGGAGACAUUCUCCGGAAGGGCGAAGGACGGAGUAUCGUAACAGUCAUCAUAGAAGCAACAACCAACACAGAUAUGAGCAACAUCGACACGAUGAUUAUUUCAAAUGUCGUGAUGAUUAUUCCAAACGCCGUGAUGUUGAUACUGGUGGAAGGAGGUCGAGUCGUCGUGAGGAUCAUUCUAGUGAUGGUGGUAGGAGGAGGUCGAGUCAUCGUGAGGAUCAUUCCAGUAAUGGUGGUAGGAGGAGGUCGAGCCCCAUCGUGAGGAUCAUUCCAGUGAUGGUGGUAGGAGGAGGUCGAGUCAUCGUGAGGAUCAUUCCAGUGAUGGUGGUAGGAGGAGGUCGAGCCAUCGUGAGGAUCAUUCCAGUGAUGGUGGUAGGAGGAGGUCGAGCCAUCGUGAGGAUCAUUCCAGUGAUGGUGAUAGGAGGAGGUCGAGUCAUCGUGAGGAUCAUUCCAGUGAUGGUGAUAUUGGUGGAAGGAGGUUGAGUCCCCAGCAGUCAGCACUUCCUUCUGGUAAUUUUGGUACUGGUCUCAGUCCCCCUUCACAUCCGACCACUGAAUAUGGUGCUAGCAGAAGGCAUGGUUCCCCUCCAUAUCAGAGAUCUAAACAUGCUGCUAGUGGAAGCCGUGGCCCCUAUAUGAACCCACGAGGAUCAGGCCCUGCAGACUACGAAAUGGAAAGGAGAAGUGUUCCCCUUCACCACGAUGUGCCCAAUGUCGAGGAGUACACUGGUCGACCACUGAAUAUGGUGCUAGCAGAAGGCAUUGCUCCCGUUAAUGCGUACUCUCUCCGUGGCCCCUAUAUGAACCCACGAGGAUCAGGCCCUGCAGACUACGAAAUAGAAAGGAGAAGUGUUCCCCUUCACCACGAUGUGCCCAAUGUCGAGGAGUACACCGGUCAACCACUGAAUAUGGUGCUACCAGAAGGCAUUGCUCCUGUUAAUACGUACUCUCUCCGAGGGGAAUCUCCUGGUGCAUAUGGUCCUGGAACAGAUGCCGGCAUGUGCGAAGAAACCACAUUCCGUGGUGGGCGUUUCGCUGAUCAUGGAGUGAGGUCAGAUUAUCCACGAAGCAGCAGCAUGAAUGCAGAGGAUAGGGCUUUUGCUGCAGGGUCCGUUACGGAUAGGUAUGUCCCGCGCCUCGACCGAACGAACCACCCAGUUAGGGUUGAUGGUUAUCUGCCGGAUUAUCCCGUAUGGUAGGUUGCUGCUGUUGUGAUACUCGUGUUGCCAAUCCCAGUCAGCCUAUGAAAAACCCUGCAGGAAACCAACAGUUAAACCUCAAUUAGCCGCGAAGCGAAUCGGAUAUGUCAAACCUUAGUUUGUCAGAGUGGUUGGACGGUAACCUUCAACCCAAGGUGGUGCCAGCGUACCUUAACGAGUGUGUUUGAUGUUGGCCUCGGAUCUUGCUACUUGUCGAUUAACAGAAAUGAUCUGCUUAGUUUGCGGUUCUUUUGCUGGAGUGUGCUUGUUUUAUAAUCUGGUGUGGAAACUUGCCUAUAAUCUGGUGUGGAAACUUACCCACAGAAGUAAGCAGAAGUGGUUCAGACAGAAGCGGGCCGAGCAAAUGGAAGUGCUGUGUAAUCCAGUGAAUGCCAGUCUUUGGUGUCUUUUUCUAUGGCUCCAAAUUUGUAUGUGGUAAUCUGCAGUUGUUCCAAAUUUGUUGUACUCCAGACUCGAAGGUUUCUUCAUUUAUGCUAGACUUGUAGUGACCCUCACUGAGGGCCAUGUGUUGAUGUUUGUAAAAAAGAUGUGAAUGGUCGAAUCGUUGGUACCUCUUUUAUCAGGAUGCUAACUCAAAAUUUGAUGCGAUGAAGAACAAGUUUUGUCGAUCA